rnacentral:rRNA from 1 species
CACGUACUGCGCGAGCGUUAUUCGGAAUCACUGGGCGUAAAGGGUGCGUAGGCGGUUCAAUUAGUCAGGUGUGAAAUCCCACAGCUCAACUGUGGAACUGCACUUGAAACUGUUGAACUUGAGAUCUCUAGGGGUGAGCGGAACUUCCGGUGGAGCGGUGAAAUGUGUUGAGAUCGGAAGGAACACCAAGAGCGAAGGCAGCUCACUGGGGAGAUACUGACGCUGAGGCACGAAAGCUAGGGGAGCGAACGGG